GAAUCUGUGUGUGGGGAUGAAAACUCACCAGCUCCUCACAGCACAGUGGGAGAGUGGGGGCCACCCCUUCACUCACUGGAUCCCUGUAAUUCCCCAUGCCCAAUGGAGCCUUGUCCUUCUCCCAGAACUGUUGUAUGAAAGGCCAUGCCCAUACAGAGGCCAAAAUGGGCCAUAACAAGAGGCCAUCUAUUGGGUGGGUCCAACAACAGACAUUCAUGUCCUCACAGUUCUGAGGCUGGACAUCUAAAAGGAGGUGCUUGUAGGGCUGGUUUCUGGGGAACCUCCCUUCCUGACUUUCGGACAGCUGCCUUCUUGCUGAUUCCUCACAUGCAUUCUUCUCUGUGCACGCAUGGGAGAGAGAGAGAGCAUGGCAUUUCUUAUUAUUAUGAGGACACCAGACCUCUGGGAUUAUAACCCACCCCUACAACCUCAUUUAGCCUUAAUUUCCUCCUUAAAGGCUCUAACUUGAAUUAGGGCCUUGGAAUUGCUUCAGCAUAUGAAUUGGAGGUGGGGCCAUCACAGGCCAUAACUGGUUUCCACAGCUGUAACUCCCCCAGUGUCCCUUACCCAUUGGGUAGGAGCUCAGGGACACAAAUAAGAACAGGAGCACCAAGAGUCAGCCCUGAGCGAAGAUCAGUGCAUCCUCAAGGGCUUCUAAGCCUUUCCUUGAUGCUCCUGGGCUCCUGGGGAAGCAGAUGCUGCUUCCAGAAAUUUCAUUACCUUCUUUUUCCUUCUCUGAAGUUCAUGCCUCUACCCCAAUGAUCAGUACCGGGUACCACCUCGUCAGCCAGGACAGGACCUUGACCUCUCUGCCCAGCUGGCUAUGUUUUCUGGGCUUUGCGUGGCUCCUUGGUCAACAGAAUGCAAGGCGAUGGUGGUCAGGAAAUGGAAAACAAAAAUUCAGCAACAGUGGGUGGCAGGCAUGGGACAGAGAGAACAGUAGGAUGGAGUCAUUUCCAGUCACUGUUCUUCGGUCCUGCAUGGCAGAUUCAGGGGAGAGCUGGGAAAUGAAGGAGAUUUCUGAGCAAGGAUGUGUUCCAGGAGAGAAAAAGGAUGUGUUCCAGGACAGAAAAAAGGAUGUGUUCCAGUCCUUCCAUCUAUGCUGCUCCUUGCCCCAACCAAGAUGGCAGCAGAUCUUGGACGGUUACAAGCAAUCGGAACACAGUGGUCCUUACAAGGUCUCUGGACAGUAAAACAGACAGGAAGAAGAGAGCAAGAGUCCUGUGGUUUACCGGAGAGAGGCAUGGGCAGGUGGAAAGGCUGCCUUAGAUAGAUUCCAGGUGACAUGUGAAGGAUAUACAAAUAACGGCGGGACAAUAGCAUAAAAUAACAGUAGAGAUUUAAGAGGCCUUUGAAAUUAUGUAUAGGUUGAGCAUUCCUCAUCAAAAAAUCCAAAAUCUAAAAUGCUCUAAAAUCAGAAGUUUUUGGGCACUGACAAGAUAUCACAGAUGGAAAAUUAUGCACCUGACUUCACAAGAUGGGUCACAGUCAAAACACAGACACACUAAAAUUGCUUUAUACAAUUACCUUCAUACUAUGUGUUUAAAUGUAUGUGAAUCAUAAAUGAAUUUCAUGUUUACACUUGGGCUCCAUCCUCAAUAUAUCUCAUAAGUGCAAAUAUUCCAAAAUCCAAAAAAAGAAAUGUGAAAUCUGUAAUAUUUCUGGUCCCAAGAACUUCAGAUAAGGAAUACCCAGCCUAGCCUCACUCUUCUCUGGGGCUGGCUUCAUGGCUGUGUGACCCAUGCUGUCACACAAGGUCCCCCACUGAGAAGGGCCUCACUCUUGGUUUAAUGCUCACUGUGUCCAUCUUGAAAUUUGACAUCUUUAACACAGAGACCACAUUUCCAUUGUAUACUGGGCCCACUGAUGAUGUGGGCAGUCCUGCCCACGGCAUUACAGACUUUAAAAGGUGCGCAGAGGAAAAGGGGAGGAGAGCACUGCAGGGUCACACUGUUCAUUUGUUGUAAAACCAGGCCCAGAAGUUUCAGUCCAAUGGUUUCCCACCACACACUGAGUUGAACUCUCUGGGUGGUCUCUGUUUAGGUCAAGAACUUCCUGUUCUGGCCCCUAAGCCCUGCCCCAGCCCGUGCCCUGAACCCCUGCAGGUGACCCCUGCAGGUACUCUGUGUGCUGAAACUACAGGUAACAGGGAGAAAUCAGGCAAUGACAUUAGAAUCCCAGUUCUACCCUUUCUGCUACUGAAGCUCUCUGAACUUUCUCUGACAAUAGAACCUGUUUUAGCGAUAGCGCGGUGACUAGAGAAAAUGAAUGUCAGGAGCCCAACAGAGUGUCAACCCAAGCUCGGUUUUCAGUUGUCACCAACUGGCAAAAUAUUUCAUUAAUUUUCAGACUUCCCUUCAUCUUCAGGUCCUCACUGUCCCUCGGCUCUUCCUCUGAGCAUCAGCUCCCCUUGUCCUGCCCUAGGAGUGAGGCAGUAGAAAUCCCCACGUUUGUGUUUGAGCUGCUGUCUAAAACUAUGGACAAGCAGGACUGGCCCCCCUGGGAACUCAAUGGAAAUGCAGAAUCUUGGGCUCCACCCAGAACCACUGAAUCAAAAUCUCCACUUUAACAAGACUCCCAGGUAAUGGGCACUCAGCUUCAAGGGAGAAACCACACGGUGAAGCUGCUCACAUCAUGGCAGCCGGGAAGCAGAGAGAGAAGGGGGCAGCUGGGGACAAGAACAUACACUUUCAGGUCAUGCCCCGCAGAACCUGCCUCUUCAACCAGGCCCACCUCCUAACAGAACAUUAGUGGAUUAAAGCCCAAUGAUCCAAUCACCUUCUAAAAGCCCCACCUCUGAAUAUGUGAGACUUUGGGGGACAUUUUAGAUCUGAAUCAUACAAAAAUUUUCACUAAGAAGAGUGAGAUUGUCCUGACAUCAGUUCACGUCUCUUUGUAGAGUUCACUCAAUGCCCUGUGAGUGUCGAGGUUGCCCUACAGUUAAAAGGUUAUAGCUUCAUAUUCUGGCCUGUUCACCUAGCAGUCACAGUGUGCCACUUUGGGCAAGCUGAUUAACCUUUGUGUACCUCGGUUUUCCCAUUUAUAAAAUGUCCUAUCUCAGAAGGUUUCCAUAAGGAUUAAAUGAAUUAAUGCAUGUGAAGUGUCUAGAACCAUGCCUGGUAUAUAGUGAACA